UAAUGUAUGGGGAUCUGCCCGAUAGAGGGGGAUAACUACUGGAAACGGUGGCUAAUACCGCAUAAUGUCUACGGACCAAAGCAGGGGCUCUUCGGACCUUGCACUAUCGGAUGAACCCAUAUGGGAUUAGCUAGUAGGUGGGGUAAAGGCUCACCUAGGCGACGAUCACUAGCUGGUCUGAGAGGAUGAUCAGCCACACUGGGACUGAGACACGGCCCAG
rnacentral:rRNA from 1 species